AUGGUAAAACCUGAUAACACAUCUCUUGUUUUUGUAAAUGAGCUGAUUGAUCAGGUGAACUGGACAUGGCAACAUGAGCUUGUUCGUGCAACCUUCCUGGCACCGGAUGCCCAAGCAAUCUUAAAUAUCCCGCUGCGCAAUGGUGGAGGAGAGGACUUUCAAGCGUGGGCCUUUGAAUCCACCGGAAUUUAUACUGUCAAAUCAGCAUAUCGUACUCUUGUGACUCACAAAGAGCGACUAGCUCGAGAGGAAGGGACGGAUAUGGGUACCUCACUGACCGAAAGACAGCUAUGGAGUUCUUUAUGGAAGCUAAAGGUUAUAGCUAAAGUGCGAGUUUUC
rnacentral:rRNA from 1 species